rnacentral:rRNA from 1 species
GAUGAACGCUGGCGGCGUGCCUAAUACAUGCAAGUCGAGCGAACGGGCGAGAAGCUUGCUUCUCUGAUGUUAGCGGCGGACGGGUGAGUAACCCGUGGAUAACCUACCUAUCAGCCUGGGAUAACUUCGGGAAACCGGAGCUAAUCCCGGAUGAUAUUUUGAACCGCAUGGUUCAAAAGUGAAAGACGGUCUUUCUGUCACUUAUAGAUGGAUCCGCGCUGCAUUAGCUAUUUGGUAAGGUAACGGCUUACCACGGCAACGAUGCAUAGCCGACCUGAGAGGGUGAUCGGCCACACUGGAACUGAGACACGGUCCAGACUCCUACGGGAGGCAGCAGUAGGGAAUCUUCCGCAAAGGGCGAAAGCCUGACGGAGCAACGCCGCGUGAGUGAUGAAGGUCUUCGGAUCGUAAAACUCUGUUAUUAGGGAAGAACAUAUGUGUAAGUAACUGUGCACAUCUUGACGGUACCUAAUCAGAAAGCCACGGCUAACUACGUG